rnacentral:rRNA from 1 species
CUGGUUGAUCCUGCCAGAAGUUACUGCUAUCGAGAUUCGACUGAGCCAUGCGAGUCGAAUGUUCUUCGUGAACAUGGCGAACUGCUCAGUAACACGUGGACAACCUACCCUUGGGUUCGGCAUAAUCCUGGGAAACUGGGGAUAAUACCGGAUAGGUCACAGCUGCUGGAAUGCACUGUGGCUCAAAGCUCCGGCGCCCAAGGAUGGGUCUGCGGCCUAUCAGGGUUGUAGUGGGUGUAAUGUACCUACUAGCCUACGACGGGUACGGGUUGUGAGAGCAAGAGCCCGGAGAUGGAUUCUGAGACACGAAUCCAGGCCCUACGGGGUGCAGCAGGCGCGAAAACUUUACAAUGCGGGAAACCGUGAUAAGGGAAUCUCGAGUGCCAGCAUAUAAUGUUGGCUGUCCAGAUGCCUAAAAAGCAUCUGUUAGCAAGGGCCGGGCAAGACCGGUGCCAGCCGCCGCGGUAACACCGGCGGCCCGAGUGGUAACCGCUAUUAUUGGGUCUAAAGGGUCUGUAGCCGGCCAGGUAAGUCCCUUGGGAAAUCUGGCAGCUCAACUGUCAGGCUGCUAGGGGAUACUGUUUGGCUUGGGACCGGGAGAGGUGAGAGGUACCUUGGGGGUAGGGGUGAAAUCUUGUGAUCCUCGGGGGACCACCAGUGGCGAAGGCGUCUCACCAGAACGGGUCCGACGGUAAGGGACGAAAGCUAGGGGCACGAACCGGAUUAGAUACCCGGGUAGUCCUAGCCGUAAACGAUGCUCGCUAGGUGUCAGUCACGGUGCGACCGUGAUUGGUGCCGUAGGGAAGCUGUGAGGCGAGCCACCUGGGAAGUAUGGCCGCAAGGCUGAAACUUAAAGGAAUUGGCGGGGGAGCACUAC